rnacentral:lncRNA from 1 species
UAUUGGUUAAUCCUAAUUCCUGUUUUUAUGAUUUGCAGGAAAUGAUUAAUAUUGACUGAAUGAAGAAUCUUCAAAGUUAAAUGCUUAUUAGAUUAAAGGAAAUGUGAAGAUCAGACCCAAAGUAUGACAUAAGGAGAAGCAGUUAUGAAUUUUGAAAUUGGUAUAAAGGAGAGGUUAACGAUUCAGAGAAGACUUAAAGCAAAGUUUACAGGUAGGAUAUACUCGAUUGUUUGAUUUUUUGUGUAGCCUGCAAUUUUUGUCGCAGACAGUAUGACAUUGGAUAAUGAUCCGAUGGCGCCUGUGUUAGCUAUAACUUCUUUUAAAAGCUUCAUAUUUUAGAAGGUGGAAGACCUGGAUUAGGUAUACUUUGUAUAUAGAUGCCUUAAUAUGUUACAAAAUUUUUGUCUGUCACAUGGCCAUUGUCCUUGACCUCAUUUUUAUGGUUCAGUGACUACUUGAAAAAAAAUCUGUAAUGAGAUAACUAUAUUUGGUAUGUGUGUACCUUGCAAGGUAGGCAUGCCCAUCAGACAGUUUUCACUUGACCUCGACCUCAUUUCAUGGAUCAGUGAACAAGGUUAAGUUAUGGUGGUCAAGUCCAUAUCUCAGAUACUGUAUGCAAUAGGUCUACUAUAUUUGGUGUCUUGAAUGAUGUUAAGGAGAACAUGUCCAACUGGCAGGUGUCAUCUGACCUUGACCUCAUUUUCAUGGUUCAGUGGUCAAAGUAAACUUUUUGAGUUUUGGUCUUUUUUUAUAAUACUAGAUGCAAUAGGUCUUCUUUAUUUGGUGUAUGGAAAUAUUUUAUGAUGUACAUGUCAGUCAUGCAGAUUUGAUUUGACCUUGAACUCAUUUUCACGGUUCAUUGCUCAGUGUUAAGUUUUUGUGUUUUGGUCUGUUUUUCUUAAACUGUAAGCAAUAGGUCAACUAUAUUUGUUGUAUGGAAGAAUUGUUAGCUGCACAUGUCUGCUGGCAUGUUUCAUCUAACCUUGACCUCAGUUUCAUCUUUCAUUGGUCAAUGUUUAGUUUUCUUGGUUAAUGCAAAGUUUAUGUGACAUUUUUGAUAAAGUUUUGUAUUUAGGACUAUCAACAUAAUAUCAUUGAUUAGUAAUUAUAUAUAAAGAAGGUUAGACAUUUCAGCGUGUGCACUCUUGUCAAAACAUUUAUUAGAUUCAUAAACUAUCCUGGAUUUUUACCAAACUUGGACAGAAUCUUCUUACAAUCAAGGAAUAUUUUAAUUAUUUGUUUUCUUCUCAACACGCGAUUAACAUCAAAAGUAGGCGAGACACUGGGUUCUGUGGAAACCCUUACAAAUUUAAAAAAAAAAACCUUUCAUUUUUCGAUUAGUUCCUAAUUUACAUGCAUGUUUACCCUAUAUAUGACCUCCCCUUGUUCUCCUUGUGCAUUAAUCAGUUAUCAAACUUUGUAAUUAACAAUUUGUUUGAUUUAAGGCUGAUUAAACUCCAACAAGCAGUACCCUACUUUAGAAUUUAUGAUAUGAUAUAUGUUGUUUUUACUUUUCAGUAUCUUUAGAAAAGUUCAUAACAAGCUUUUGGUAUCUUUAGAAAAGAU